GAAUAUGGAAUGCCAAAUUAAAAAUGUAUAUGUGUACUCUUCUAAAAAGGAAUUUAACCAUUCUUGUCAAAUCAGGAAAUAGAAAGCUCUAAUAAUUUAACUUGAUUUUAUGAGGACAAGAAAAAGAAACCUGUCUGAGAGAAGGAAAGCCUGACCAAAAUGAUAAAACCAGAAUGUAGCAACAUGGAUGGAACUAGAGACUCAUACCAAGUGAAGAAAAUCAGAAAGGGAAAGACAAAUACCAUGUGAUAUA
rnacentral:lncRNA from 1 species